rnacentral:rRNA from 1 species
CGGUCUGGUGGCGAGUGGCGAACGGGUGAGUAAUGCAUCGGAACGUGCCAUUGAGUGGGGGAUAACGUAGCGAAAGUUGCGCUAAUACCGCAUAUUCUGUGAGCAGGAAAGCAGGGGACCGCAAGGCCUUGCGCUCUUUGAGCGGCCGAUGUCAGAUUAGCUAGUUGGCGAGGUAAAGGCUUACCAAGGCGACGAUCUGUAGCGGGUCUGAGAGGAUGAUCCGCCACACUGGAACUGAGACACGGUCCAGACUCCUACGGGAGGCAGCAGUGGGGAAUUUUGGACAAUGGGGGCAACCCUGAUCCAGCCAUGCCGCGUGAGUGAAGAAGGCCUUCGGGUUGUAAAGCUCUUUCGGCCGGGAAGAAAUCGCAUGGGCCAAUACCCUGUGUGGAUGACGGUACCGGAAUAAGAAGCACCGGCUAACUACGUGCCAGCAGCCGCGGUAAUACGUAGGGUGCGAGCGUUAAUCGGAAUUACUGGGCGUAAAGCGUGCGCAGGCGGUUUUGUAAGACAGGCGUGAAAUCCCCGGGCUUAACCUGGGAACUGCGUUUGUGACUGCAAGGCUAGAGUACGGCAGAGGGGGGUGGAAUUCCACGUGUAGCAGUGAAAUGCGUAGAGAUGUGGAGGAACACCAAUGGCGAAGGCAGCCCCCUGGGUCGAUACUGACGCUCAUGCACGAAAGCGUGGGUAGCAAACAGGA